CAGCAGCCGCGGUAAUACGUAGGUGGCAAGCGUUGUUCGGAAUUAUUGGGCGUAAAGGGUGCGUAGGCGGUUUGGCAAGUUUCGUGUGAAAACUUCGGGCUCAACCCGAAGCCUGCACGGAAAACUGCCGGGCUUGAGUAUGGGAGAGGUGAGUGGAAUUUCCGGUGUAGCGGUGAAAUGCGUAGAUAUCGGAAGGAACACCUGUGGCGAAAGCGGCUCACUGGACCAUAACUGACGCUGAGGCACGAAAGCUAGGGGAGCAAACAGGAUUAGAUACCCCGGUAGUCCCUGUCUCUUAUAC
rnacentral:rRNA from 1 species